CCUGGAUACCAUGCUGAUGGUCAAACAUUUGCGGCUACGGCUAAUCUAUCAGUAGAUCAUGCUAUUAAUAAGAUGCAGCUGCGAGAUGAUACUGAAGGUAUCCAUAGGCAUGAUAUCCACCUUCCCAACCGGCGUAUUCGGCAGUGGUUCAGUGUGUUUUAUUUGUUUUUUGAUUUGUACUUAUAACAUGAUGCAGACGACACAGCUUCCGAACUGCUUGAAACUGUUUUUCUAAAUAAUGAAUGCAAAAAAUACGCUGAGGAAGCAAGGGAGCAGUACAAUGCAAGGAGGCGUGCAGCUUAUCAGAAGAAUAAUAAUGAGGAUAUUGUCAGCUUACAAGAUGAGAAUCAGCCGGUACUUGCAAAAUCAGGUGAGGUUGAUGGCUGAUCUUAGUUUGAUGUGCAUACGUAUAGUAUGCACAUGAUUCGUUGUAUUAAUCUAUAUCCCUGAUUAUAGAUGAUAUGAUGCUCAUACUAUGUUGCUUAUUAGAUCAUAGGGAUCUUAUCAACGCUCGUAGGCUGGUGGCUUAUCGCAAUAACAAGUCAGAUGGUUCGGCUAACCAACAAGUCAAUGGGAAGUCAUCCCGUCGCUAGUCUCUAUGUGAUAUCACAAAUGUUCUCGAAGAUAGGGAGAUAAAUAAACCCACACGAGAUUAUCAUGGUUGGUAAAUUGAUCCACGUCCCAUAUGCACUGUGUUUGCACGAAGGUAGUCACUUAUUACGCAAUUUAAAUAAGUACUGACCAAUCUUGUUGAAUCAUAUAAUUCAGCUAGCUCAACAUUUCCUGCUACAAGUACGGUCACAUCUGGUCUCAUUAAUGAAAAUGAAAUACAAGAUGCAAAUGUAAUCAUGUAUGACACCCAAGAAACAGAGCAUAAAAUGGAAGAAGAACGCAAGAGAGACCAUAGAAACGCCCUGAGGAGGGCUUCCUAUCGGCGGAAGAAACAAUAUAAUGUCCAAGUUGAACAUGCACAGACCCUUCAUUUAUCAGGUAAGCUUAUAAUGAUUUAACCAUUAUGGUCAGAACCGUCUUAAUAAUUAAGCAUUAAUAUGUGUGGACAACUUAGGUUCACCAGGCAAUCCCACUAGCUCUAACUAUACAUCAUUCUCGCGUGAUGCGCGGACAUUUCCUGAUACAACUACGGUCUCAUGUGGGAUCGUUAAUGACAACGAGCUACAAGAUGUGAUUUUGAAUGACACACAAGAAACAGAGGAAAAAACAGAAGAAGAACGCAAGAGAGACCAUAGAAACGCCCUGCGGUGAGCUGCUUAUUGGAGGAACAAGGAUAAGCAUAUCAAAGAUCAAAACAAACGUCCAUCUGGUACUUCAGGUAUACGCUUACGUUCAAUAUCCUUUUCGGAAGCCGGGCCCUACUAUUCUAGAUGGCACUCCUCCCGUGCCGAUAAGUCAAACUGUUCUAACUAUGUUUUGAAAAUAAUAUUGAUCCAGACGACCUGAAUAUCCCUAGCGUUACAGAAUUAAUGAAAGAGGGAGCAACAUGUCCCCCUUCAACUUUACACGCGUCUGUCAUUCAAGACACUAUUCUAGCUAGGAGGCAAAGUGACAAUGAGCGGAAACGUAAUUCAACAAACGAGCAAAGGGAGGCGAAAAACGCAAGUAGCAGAGCAUGCCAUCAGAAGAAAAGUGACGAAUUAACGGUGGAGGUUAGAGAAACAAAGAAUGAAAAAAUACGCGUGACUCGCGUGCAGCGCCGCAAAAGCAUGUCGGUGAUUGAGAAGGGGGAGUCAAGUGCACAGAGGAAGGCCAAUUAUGAAAGAAGGAAAAAAACACCGUGCAAAGAAUGCAUCGCAAUCCCCCUUACAAACCUUGCAAAC